AAUCAACGCUGGCGGCGUGCCUCAGACAUGCAAGUCGAACGCGAAAUUUCCCCUCGGGGAGAAAGUAGAGUGGCGCACGGGUGAGUAACACGUAGGUAAUUUGCCUUUGGGUGGGGAAUAACAGCCGGAAACGGCUGCUAAUACCGCAUAAUGCAGCGGCUCGACAUCGAGACAGUUGUUAAAGCGGGGGAUCUCGCAAGAGACCUCGCGCCUAAAGAGAAGCCUGCGGCAGAUUAGCUAGUUGGUAAGGUAAUGGCUUACCAAGGCGACGAUCUGUAACCGGCCUGAGAGGGCGGUCGGUCACACUGACACUGACAUACGGGUCAGACUCCUACGGGAGGCAGCAGUCGGGAAUUUU
rnacentral:rRNA from 1 species